rnacentral:rRNA from 1 species
GACGAACGCUGGCGGCGUGCCUAAUACAUGCAAGUCGAACGAGAGCGACCGGUGCUUGCACUGGUCAAUCUAGUGGCGAACGGGUGAGUAACACGUGGGUAACCUGCCCAUCAGAGGGGGAUAACAUCCGGAAACGGAUGCUAAAACCGCAUAGGUCUUCGAACCGCAUGGUUUGAAGAGGAAAAGAGGCGCAAGCUUCUGCUGAUGGAUGGACCCGCGGUGCAUUAGCUAGUUGGUGAGGUAACGGCUCACCAAGGCCGUGAUGCAUAGCCGACCUGAGAGGGUGAUCGGCCACAUUGGGACUGAGACACGGCCCAAACUCCUACGGGAGGCAGCAGUAGGGAAUCUUCCGCAAUGGACGCAAGUCUGACGGAGCAACACCGCGUGAGUGAAGAAGGUUUUCGGAUCGUAAAACUCUGUUGUUAGAGAAGAACAAGUGCUAGAGUAACUGUUAGCGCCUUGACGGUAUCUAACCAGAAAGCCACGGCUAACUACGUG